rnacentral:rRNA from 1 species
UACAGAGGUGGCAAGCGUUGUUCGGAAUUACUGGGCGUAAAGGGCGCGUAGGCGGCCUUGUAAGUCCCGUGUGAAAUCCCUCGGCUCAACUGAGGAACUGCACGGGAAACUGCUUGGCUUGAGUUCGGGAGAGGGAAGCGGAAUUCCGGGUGUAGCGGUGAAAUGCGUAGAUAUCCGGAGGAACACCGGUGGCGAAGGCGGCUCCUGGACCGACACUGACGCUGAGGCGCGAAAGCGUGGGGAGCAAACAGG